CCCGUUGAACCGGCAGACAUUCAGACCAGACCACAGCUUUUCACCGGGAUAACGUCCCGGCUUGAUCUUUCUUUGAUACUUUUUUAACGUCUUUAAGGGCUCUCUUUACCGGCUAACUGCGGCUAGCUUCUGCUAGCGCUAACGUUAGCCCAACCGUCAGUUUAGAACUAAAACGCAGGUAUUCAGUGUGUCAGUGUGUGUAUGAGCAGCAGUGAUGAGCAGCAGAAGCCGCAGGUCCUGCCGAAUGAACAUAAAAUCAUCAAAACUCCCAGAAAGACUUUCCUCCGAUGCGGUCGGUCCUCGGUGGGUUUCUGCAGCGAGUUUUGUCUCUUUGAGUGUUGUUUAUUUU